GCGGUCGUAGUUCAAUGGUAGAAUGUCAGCUUGUGGCGCUGAAGACGAGGGUUCGAUUCCCUCCCUCCGCU
rnacentral:tRNA from 1 species